rnacentral:lncRNA from 7 species
AAUCUGAAAAGCAACCAGCGAGCGGCUUCCCACCCCAUACAGUCCCCCGCUGGGCCAAGCUGUGGUUGAAGUGGCUAUCACCAAAUAGCAGGAGUUGCCUCGGCUGGGGAGUGCUAAAUGGAUCCCGCUGACUCACCGCUGAUUCCUGCAGGGGGAUGUUGAGGUGGCGGAUCUGGCUCCCCAGGGACACCGUCUCCGAUGUGGGAACAACAGCCUGGAAGUGGAAGGGAAGGGUCUGAGCUGAGCUCUUCAUUCUGCUUCUGAAUGCUAAUAAUGCUGUAAUACGCUUAAGCUGAAGGAAGGGUAUUGGCAGAAGCAGAAAAAGAACGCUUUGCGUUUUGCGUAAGAUACAUAUAGGUCAUUGGAGAGAGCAGGUAGACAAGGAAGACUUGAUCAGAACAGAAGAGGCCUUUUCUGUAGAGAGUCUAAUCAGAAAUAUUUGUGUUCAUAAGCUCAAGUUGAAAGAGGUGUUUCCUCAGACACUUCAUGGACAUUUUCCGAAGCCAGCAAACUAGGUGCUAAGCUGUAAGAAUAACAUCUUCAAAGAGAUCGUGCAGCUUUUGAAAGCUAAAUUUCUGCAUUUAUAAGGUCAGGAUAUGUUUGCAGUCUGUGUGGCUACACGUGGACUUGGGGAAAAAAGAAACAACAGCACAUGGAGUUACCUAAGAAAAUCCAGGAAAAACAUUAAAAAUAUUAAAUCCAUCUUUUUAUAACUUCCAGCCAUAUUAAACAUCAGAUCAACAAUCUCACAUUUUUAAUUGCUCAAAUAAACGUUUUAAACUCUUUGUGCAAGUUCAUAAAAUGUAUUGACUUUCAGAAAAUAUAUAUUUUUAAUGGCAGCUAAGAGCCUGUGGGAAAAGAACACUGGGAACAGCCAUGCACCUGUAGUCCAGCCAAGAAAGACAUUAAUUCUUUUUGGAGGACGGUAUCUUUUGGAAUAUACAAGAGGCUGCAUGUAUUGCAUCACAUCAUUUUGUGGAAAUGAGGAACAGUUAAUGCAAUUAAAGGCACAUCACUG